rnacentral:rRNA from 1 species
UGAGGAAUAUUGCACAAUGGGCGCAAGCCUGAUGCAGCAACGCUGCGUGCGGGACGAAGGCCUUCGGGUCGUAAACCGCUUUUCUGGGGAAAGAGCAAGGACGGUACCUCAGGAAUGAGUCUCGGCUAACUACGUGCCAGCAGCCGCGGUAAAACGUAGGAGGCGAGCGUUAUCCGGAUUUACUGGGCGUAAAGCGCACGCAGGCGGCUCUGUGAGUCGGACGCGAAAGCUCCCGGCUUAACCGGGAGAGGCCGUUCGAUACUGCGGGGCUUGAGGUAGGGAGAGGAAUGCGGAAUUCCCGGUGUAGUGGUGGAAUGCGUAGAUAUCGGGAGGAACACCUGUGGCGAAAGCGGCAUUCUGGCCCUCACCUGACGCUGAGGUGCGAAAGCGUGGGUAGCAAACAG